rnacentral:lncRNA from 1 species
UUCAUUCUUCUAGAGUAAGACCAUACAUCUUCAAAUCGAUACAGUUGCGAUGGAAUGGCAGAAGUCGUCCGUGUACAAGCGACCGUUACACUUUCACUCUCUCUUCUCUCCUACUGUCGUCUAAGCACCCAAGACCACCGCUAACAUCAUCACCUUCUCUGUGCAUCUUCGUUGUGACCACCACCUUAACCACAAGUCGGAAGCCGGCUCACCGGAAAUGCGCACUGGCUGAGUUUAACCUUAACCAUUUCCGAUCUACACGAGUCUAUAACAUGCAUGAUGAAGGAUUGCUUGGUUGUGCCUCACCGGAAAUUUGAUCGGAGCUCCAAAACUUCACCCAUUAACAGAUCGGUUGUAGAUCUGGACAUCCCAAGUCCGAUGACACAAAACCGCCGCUUUCGGAGAUAAUCAGGUGUGGUGGUGAUGUCUUCAAUCGGCGAUAAAGGAGGAUAUGGUGAGCACUGACGACACUGGAUAUGGCUCAUUGUUGAAUGGGGGUUUCAAAUAAAGAGAGUUUAGAUCUAGGGUUAAGUGAUUCGAUCUGGGGUUUAAAGGGGUGUAGAGAAAUAGAUGG